rnacentral:rRNA from 1 species
GACGAACGCUGGCGGCGUGCUUAACACAUGCAAGUCGAACGGAAAGGCCCUGCUUUUGUGGGGUGCUCGAGUGGCGAACGGGUGAGUAACACGUGAGUAACCUGCCCUUGACUUUGGGAUAACUUCAGGAAACUGGGGCUAAUACCGGAUAGGAGCUCCUGCUGCAUGGUGGGGGUUGGAAAGUUUCGGCGGUUGGGGAUGGACUCGCGGCUUAUCAGCUUGUUGGUGAGGUAGUGGCUUACCAAGGCUUUGACGGGUAGCCAGCCUGAGAAGGUGACCGGCCACAUUGGGACUGAGAUACGGCCCAGACGCCUAAGGGAGGCAGCAGUGGGAAAUAUUGCACAAGGGGCGGAAGCCUGAUGCAGCAUCGCCGCGUGAGGGAUCACGGCCUUAGGGUUGUAAACCGCUUUCGCCUGUGAAGAAACUAGAGUGACGGUAAUGGGAAAAGAAGCACCGGCUAACUACGUG